UGGGGAAUAUUGGACAAUGGGCGAAAGCCUGAUCCAGCCAUGCCGCGUGUGUGAAGAAGGUCUUCGGAUUGUAAAGCACUUUAAGUUGGGAGGAAGGGCAGUAAGCUAAUACCUUGCUGUUUUGACGUUACCGACAGAAUAAGCACCGGCUAACUCUGUGCCAGCAGCCGCGGUAAUACAGAGGGUGCAAGCGUUAAUCGGAAUUACUGGGCGUAAAGCGCGCGUAGGUGGUCUGUUAAGUUGGAUGUGAAAGCCCCGGGCUCAACCUGGGAACUGCAUCCAAAACUGGCAGGCUAGAGUACGGUAGAGGGUGGUGGAAUUUCCUGUGUAGCGGUGAAAUGCGUAGAUAUAGGAAGGAACACCAGUGGCGAAGGCGACCACCUGGACUGAUACUGACACUGAGGUGCGAAAGCGUGGGGAGCAAACA
rnacentral:rRNA from 1 species